rnacentral:rRNA from 1 species
GAUGAACGCUGACAGAAUGCUUAACACAUGCAAGUCGAUGGGGAAGUGGUGCUUGCACCAUGGCAACCAUGGCGGACGGGUGAGUAACGCGUAAGGGACUUACCUGCAGGACUGGGAUAACAGGAGGAAACUCCUGACAAGACCGGAUAAUGUCAUGGAGCUGCAUGGCUUUAUGAUGAAAGGAGACGCCUGCGGAGAGCCUUGCGUCCUAUUAGCUAGUUGGUGAGGUAAUGGCUCACCAAGGCGAAGAUAGGUAGCCGGCCUGAGAGGGUGGACGGCCACAAGGGGACUGAGAGACGGCCAAUACUCCUAAGGGAGGCAGCAGUGGGGAAUAUUGGACUAUGGGGGCAACCCUGAUCAAGGAAUUCUGUGUGCAAGAAGAAGGUUUUCGGAGUGUAAAGUGCUUUCAGCAGGGAAGAAGUAAGUGACGGUACCUGCAGAAGAAGCGACGGCUAAAUACGUG